rnacentral:misc_RNA from 1 species
GAUGAAGAACGCAGCGAAAUGCGAUACGUAAUGUGAAUUGCAGAAUUCAGUGAAUCAUCGAGUCUUUGAACGCACAUUGCGCCCCUUGGUAUUCCAUUGGGCAUGCCUGUUCGAGCGUCAUUUACACCCUCAAGCCUAGCUUGGUGUUGGGCGUUGUCCGCAAGGACUCGCCUCAAAUUCAUUGGCAGCGGCAUCGUCAGCUUCUCGCGCAGCACAUUGCGCUUCAGAAGGCUUCUGGCGGGCUCGCGUCCACUAAGAUACCACCCAGUUUGACCUCGAAUCAGGUAGGGAUACCCGCUGAACUUAAGCAUAUCAAUAAGCGGAGGA